UACGGGGGGAGCAAGCGUUGUUCGGAUUUACUGGGCGUAAAGGGCGCGUAGGCGGUCAGCACAAGUCAGUUGUGAAAUCUCCGAGCUUAACUCGGAAAGGUCAACUGAUACUGUGCGACUAGAGUGCAGAAGGGGCAACUGGAAUUCUCGGUGUAGCGGUGAAAUGCGCAGAUAUCAGGAGGAACACCAAUGGCGAAGGCAGCUCGCUGGAACGGUACUGACGCUGAGGCGCGAAAGCGUGGGGAGCGAACAGG
rnacentral:rRNA from 1 species